rnacentral:pre_miRNA from 12 species
UGAUUCUCUUUCAGUGUUCUCUUUGCUUUCAGCUUCUUUACAGUGUUGCCUUGUGGCAUGGAGUUCAAGCAGCAUUGUACAGGGCUAUCAAAGCAUGGAGAGUUGCAGCAGGGAACCACA